rnacentral:rRNA from 1 species
UACGGAGGAUGCGAGCGUUAUCCGGAUUUAUUGGGUUUAAAGGGUGCGUAGGCGGACUGUCAAGUCAGCGGUAAAAUUGAGAGGCUCAACCUCUUCCCGCCGUUGAAACUGGUGGUCUUGAGUGGAUGAGAAGUACGCGGAAUGCGUGGUGUAGCGGUGAAAUGCAUAGAUAUCACGCAGAACUCCGAUUGCGAAGGCAGCGUACCGGCAUCCAACUGACGCUGAGGUUCGAAAGCGUGGGUAGCAAACAGG